rnacentral:rRNA from 1 species
AUUGAACGCUGGCGGCAUGCCUAACACAUGCAAGUCGAGCGCGCGGCGGGCGGGGGCGUAAUGUCUGGGAAACUGUCUGAUGGAGGGGGAUAACUACUGGAAACGGUAUCUAAUACCGCACACCAUCAGAUGUGCCCAGAUGGUGUUAGCUAGUAGGUGGGGUAACGGCUCACCUAGGCGACGAUCCCUUGCUGGUCUGAGAGGAUGACCAGCCACACUGGAACUGAGACACGGUCCAGACUCCUACGGGAGGCAGCAGUGGGGAAUAUUGGACAAUGGGUGAAAGCCUGAUCCAGCCAUGCCGCGUGUGUGAAGAAGGCCUUCGGGUUGUAAAGUACUUUCAGCGGAGAAGCGUUACCCGCAGAAGAAGCACCGGCUAACUCCGUGCCAGCAGCCGCGGUAAUUC